rnacentral:lncRNA from 10 species
UUCCCCUGCUUGCACUUCUCCUUCCUGCUGCUCUGUGAAGAAGGUGCCUUUCUUCCCCUUCCGCCAUGAUUGUAAGUUUCCUGAGGUCUUCGAAACCAUGCGAACUGAGGCCACAGGAGCCCAUGAGGAGAGAGCAGGCAUGGGGUCCAGGCCGUGGCCCUCCUUGAGCCUGCAGCCCUCAACUGGAAGCAGCCCACUGCCCCGCUCAGGGGGUGAAAUCUCUUCAUACGUUUCCAAAGGAUGCCAGGCCCUUUCUUCUUUGGAAUUUCCCUCUUCCCUGACCUAAGUUUCCAAGGAGGAAUAAGAAAGCAGACAAGCAAAAGCACCCACACUUGCGGAGAUUGAAAGCAGUACAGAUCUCUAACGAUGAAUUUCUAAUCAGGAGAUGAAUGUCUAAUCAGGCUGAAAAAAAUAAAAGAAUCCCCCAAAUGUUAACACGGUAGUCAAACACUUGUUUGUCCUUUCCAUUGGCUGUAAAUGCUUCUCUCUGUAACACAGGGUAUGGCCUGUCAAGUCUCUGGGAAGGAAAAGCAGCUGUUGGCAAAACACAAG